UUCUUUUUUUUUUCUUUUUUUAUUGCAUUUAGGUUUUGGGGUACAUGUGAAGAACAUGCAAGAUUGUUGCAUAGAGAAUGCCUAACAUUUGGUGCUGAAACCCAGGACAGGGGUAUUCCCUGGGGAGACCAGCCCCCUGUCCCCACUCUUCCUGUGAAGAGAUCCACCUGCGAACUCAGCGCAUCAGACCAGCCUGAAAACCUUCUCGUCACCUUCAGAUCAGGGCCUCCAUUAAAAGUCAGACUGCCCAACUCACGUCACUGCUCCCAGAGUUACUGGAGCUCCCAGACCAAAUUCUUCCCAGUCUCCUCAGCUUGGUGGCUGAAGACUGAUGCUGCCUGAACAUCU
rnacentral:lncRNA from 1 species